CUGGAACCCCCGAAUCCCUGAUGUCACACACACACAAACUUUAUUGCAGCCUGAGCUGGUAAAGGGAAGAUCAAAGAAGAUCUCAUAGAAGAGGUAGCAUCUGAGAUAUGCCUUAAAGAAUGAUAAGGGUUAUGAGAGCUGGAAGCCAGAAGACUCAGAUCUCUCUUCUCCCAAGCUCUUACCAACUUCAUCUGUCCUGAAGGCACAAAGCAUUGAGUAAUUAAUCUUCACCAAUGACGAGAGUCCUAUACAAAUGGACUUUGAAACAUGAGUUACACAUAUAGAUAUAUACCCAGUAAAUACAAAGGAAUGUAAAAGGGAAAGUGUGUUAAAAUUUUAUCUAUACUAAGUAUAUAUAACUUUUCCUUUGAUGUUACCUUAAAGGAAUAUAUGAAAUCCUCUUUUGAGAUAAGAAUUUUACCCUAAAAUCUAAUUUUUAUACCUACUGCAAUAUUUCAAGUAUAUUUAAAUAACUUCUAUUUAUAUUUAUAUUAUUAUGAAUUCUAAAUACUGAGUGUUACAAAUUCUGUUAUGAGUUAUUCCUAUAUAUUGUGU